rnacentral:lncRNA from 1 species
CUCUGUGGAAACCUUCAGCUGUAAUUAGUGUUCAUAUAACAAUUAUUUUUGCUGUGAAACUGGCCCCACCAAACUAUACUGUAAUUUAAUGAGGCUGUUUUUGUCUUUAAAAUGGAAGGAUCAGCUUUAUCUGCAUGGAAUCUGGUCUAGAUACUCAGUCUUCUUUCUCUUUUUUGUUUUUUAGUGUUCAGAUGGAUCAGAUUUCCCCCUGCUCAAGGUUGCUAUCAGCCAGCGUGGAUGACAGUCUAGGACCUCGGCCUGAGAGAUACAUAGAGAAUAUCAGCAAUUAG